rnacentral:rRNA from 1 species
GACGAACGCUGGCGGCGUGCUUAACCCAUGCAAGUCGAACGGAAAGGCCCUGCUUUUGUGGGGUGCUCGAGUGGCGAACGGGUGAGUAACACGUGAGUAACCUGCCCUUGACUUUGGGAUAACUUCAGGAAACUGGGGCUAAUACCGGAUAGGAGCUCCUGCUGCAUGGUGGGGGUUGGAAAGUUUCGGCGGUUGGGGAUGGACUCGCGGCUUAUCAGCUUGUUGGUGGGGUAGUGGCUUACCAAGGCUUUGACGGGUAGCCGGCCUGAGAGGGUGACCGGCCACAUUGGGACUGAGAUACGGCCCAGACUCCUACGGGAGGCAGCAGUGGGGAAUAUUGGACAAUGGGCGCAAGCCUGAUCCAGCCAUACCGCGUGGGUGAAGAAGGCCUUCGGGUUGUAAAGCCCUUUUGUUGGGAAAGAAAAGCAGCAGGUUAAUACCCCGCUGUUCUGACGGUACCCAAAGAAUAAGCACCGGCUAACUUCGUG